UAGGGAAUCUUCCACAAUGGGCGAAAGCCCUGAUGGAGCAACGCCGCGUGUGUGAUGAAGGGUUUCGGCUCGUAAAACACUGUUGUAAGAGAAGAAUGACAUUGAGAGUAACUGUUCAAUGUGUGACGGUAUCUUACCAGAAAGGAACGGCUAAAUACGUGCCAG
rnacentral:rRNA from 1 species